CCCUUAGAUGUUCUGGGCCGCACGCGCGCUACACUGAUUCGUUCAUCGAGCUUACAACCUUGACCGGCAGGUCUGGGUAAUCUUUUCAAAGCGAAUCGUGCUGGGGAUAGAUUAUUGUAAUUUUUAAUCUUAAACGAGGAAUUCCUAGUAAACGCAGAUCAUCAAUCUGCAUUGAUUACGUCCCUGCCCUUUGUACACACCGCCCGUCGCACCUACCGAUUGGAUGGUCCGGUGAAGCCUCGGGAUUGUGGUUCUUGCCGCUUUAUUGUGGCGUGACCGCGAGAACUUGUCUAAACCUUAUCAUCUAGAGGAAGGUGAAGUCGUAACA
rnacentral:rRNA from 1 species